rnacentral:rRNA from 1 species
UACGUAGGUGGCGAGCGUUAUCCGGAAUGAUUGGGCGUAAAGGGUGCGCAGGCGGUCCUGCAAGUCUGGAGUGAAACGUAUGAGCUCAACUCAUGCAUGGCUCUGGAAACUAUGUGACUGGAGUGCAGGAGAGGUGAGCGGAAUUCCUAGUGUAGCGGUGAAAUGCGUAGAUAUUAGGAGGAACACCAGUGGCGAAGGCGGCUCACUGGACUGUAACUGACGUUGAGGCUCGAAAGCGUGGGGAGCAAACAGG